AUUGAACGCUGGCGGCAGGCCUAACACAUGCAAGUCGAACGAGUGGCGGACGGGUGAGUAAUGUCUGGGAAACUGCCCGAUGGAGGGGGAUAACUAAUGGAAACGGUAGCUAAUACCGCAUACCAUCGGAUGUGCCCAGCUGGGAUUAGCUAGUAGGUGGGGUAACGGCUCACCUAGGCGACGAUCCCUAACUGGUCUGAGAGGAUGACCAGCCAAACGGGAACGUAGACACGGUCCAGACUCCGACGGGAGGCAGCAGUGGGGAAUAUUGCACAAGGGGAGCAAGCCUGAUGCAGCCAUGCCGUGUGUAUGAAGAAGGCCUUCGGGUUGUAAAGUACUUUCAGCGGGGAGGCGUUACCCGCAGAAGAAGCACCGGCUAACUCCGUGCCAGCAGCCCCGGUAAUUC
rnacentral:rRNA from 1 species